CUAGACCCCAAUUAAGCAAUUGCAGCUCCCAUUCUGGUUCUUCUCCCCCAAUCAACAACAUCCUUUCCCUUUCCCAAUUAUGGUUCUUCUCUCCCCGAUCUAGGUUUUUUACACAGAAGAGUCUCAACGAUCAACCUCUCCCCGAUCUAGGUCAAGAAGACACUGUUGGUGGAGUUCUUCGAUCUGAUUUUACAAAGUAUACUGUUGUUGCACGGAUUUCUGGUCAAGGAGAGGAGUGAAGGAGAAAUGGGUUCUGCACUCAGACGAGUUUGCCAUGAGAUCCACCAACCAAUCGUUCCUCAAAAGCGGCCUCUAUAAAACCCAACAAAAGGGAAAGAUUUGGGUUUUGAUUUGAUUGGGUUUAUGUUACGUUUAUGUUAAUUUGAUAGGGUUUUCAUAUUAUGUGAACUUUCACAGGUUUUAGUCUAAUUUUGGCUUUAUAAAUCAUCUAAAUGCUUUCGAUGUCAGGAUGCUGGUUUUGUACCAAAUGGAAUUGGGAGCAAAGGAAUCAACCUGUGUGAAUUUUAAUCCCAGCAGCAAGGAGUAUAUGCACGGAGUAGCAAUAAGAUUUCGGUCAUGUGAAGCCUCUUUCCUCCAUAAACCCUUUGUUUUGGGAUGUAAUUUUAACCGAUCUGCAUGUUUCCAUUUGUCAGUCCUGCCUGUCAAAGAUUCGAAGCCUCGUCUUUGUUGAGAUUGCAUCUUUUUGGAACUCGGAACUGAUUUUGGACACUCCUCCACCGCCAAGCUUCGUGGCUAUCACAGUUGUUGGUGUCGAACCCAAAACCGGUACCAUAUCUUUUGAAGAAAACAUGACCACCCCAAUAUUUCGGUGCUUGUGACUCUCAAGGAAAUAUCCGAGCUUCAUUCUGGUCCAUCACAUGGCUUUCAGGCGGUCUUAGGAUUGAUUGUACAAGUUCAAUCCUCGAUACAUACUGGGGAAGCCUCCAAGAAGGAAGCACAAUGAGCUUUUCAAUGCUAUCCAUGACCAUUUUCCCCUGUAUACUUCCCUGUAUUCACCACUUGAACUUGAUCGAACAACUUUGCAUUUGCGAUGCCCCUGAAAUUAUGUGCUUGCUAUGGUUUCAACAAUGAAGAAGUCGAUCUUUGAUGAACAAACUAACAAGGCCUUAAGGAAAUUGCAAAAGAAUGCUCAAAAGAAGAAUAAGCAUCAUGAUGUGGUUCGAGCUGAAUGGGCAAAUCAUGUUAUACAGUUCUAACUUUGGUUCUUUUUAAGGUAGAUGAGUAGCACUUGGAACUGCUUUUGUGCAUUUAUAUAUAACUGAUGGAAAGUGUUGAUGAACUUAAAUUAUGCAUGCAGUUGCUCUGUC